GACGAACGCUGGCGGCGUGCUUAACACAUGCAAGUCGAACGGUGAACCUCUUCGGAGGGGAUCAGUGGCGAACGGGUGAGUAACACGUGGGCAACCUGCCCCCGGCUCUGGGAUAACUCCAAGAAAUUGGGGCUAAUACCGGAUGUUCACCGCUUCCCGCAUGGGUGGUGGUGGAAAGGGUUUCCGGCUGGGGAUGGGCCCGCGGCCUAUCAGCUUGUUGGUGGGGUAGUGGCCUACCAAGGCGACGACGGGUAGCCGGCCUGAGAGGGUGACCGGCCACACUGGGACUGAGACACGGCCCAGACUCCUACGGGAGGCAGCAGUGGGGAAUAUUGCGCAAUGGGCGGAAGCCUGACGCAGCGACGCCGCGUGGGGGAUGACGGCCUUCGGGUUGUAAACCUCUUUCAGCAGGGACGAAGCGCAAGUGACGGUACCUGCAGAAGAAGCACCGGCCAAUUACGUG
rnacentral:rRNA from 1 species